ensembl:lncRNA
GAAAAUUGUUUCUACACCUUUUUUUUUUUUUUCCCAGUGUAUAUGUACUUGUAAUGCAUUUAAUAUCUGAUCCGUCUUCCUGUAGGUAUCACAAUCAUGGCACCAAUCAGCACUGAUCUGGUAGGCUGGGCGGUCACAGAGCAACCAGAGGCUGCAUUUCUCUCCAUAGUCGUCCUCUUCAUCGUUAGCAUCGCACUUCUUGCUCUCUGUGCAAGAUGUAAAAAACAAUCAUUUGAGUUAGACAGGAGCAGCGCACCCGAGCAGAAAGCAUCCACACUUGUAAGUGUGGCAAGAAUGGACAAUUCAAGUGGUGCCAGACAAAACCCUGCUGCUAAAGACAUCACAGAUGAUGAGAUGGGUUUAGAGGCGGUGACUGGUGACGUUGUGUACAGACCCUGGAGAAGUCACACACUCACUCAUGGUUCAAGUCCACCAACUCAAAUAAACGGUGGGGUUGGGACAACGACUGAGGGUUCGGUAACACUUCAAGCUAUCUGAGAAAGUAUGACAAAUGGCAUCACUGCUGUAGGCGUAACACCACCAACUUCGAAUGGUGGAAACAAGCCUGCAGAGAGUUCCACCAUAUUUAUUAUGCAACCUGAAAUGCUCAUACUAAAUAAAACCCCUCAUUAUUUGGCGAUAAAUGGUUUCUGUAUCCUUCUGGGGCUGGGCUGAAGUCCUGCUUUAUGGCAUUGACUCACAUAAGUGCCCAUCAAACUUUGAGACCAUAGGAACUAUGAGCCCCCCGAUCUGUCCCUCAACAUUGACUGGACUGAUUCAAAGCUGAAUCCUUAUGCAAAGUUUCCGAUAAGAAUUGUCAGUGGCCCUCAGGGGAGGGUGCCUGAUCUUCUGGCCACACCUGUUUUGACAAAUAGGGAUCUUUAUUCAGGUGGUCACGGAUUAAAUGCAAUGUAAGCAAGAAAAUCAGGUGUCACAUCUCCAUUUGAAGAAAAGGUGGAAGUGUCUGCAUCACCAUAAGAGAGACCUAAAGAAAUUAAGAUUUUCCUUUCUUUUUCUAAUGAAGUACAGUAUUGUGAAAUUAUUCUGCAUUCAUAUUUAUAGUAGGGGUGAUAUAUAUAGACUUUAUCUCCCAGAUUGACUGGUCUGUGUAUGUUUUAAUUCAUGUAUAUAAUCGGCAGCAUACUGGUGAAUAUUUUUAUGUUUUGAACAAAUGUUCGAAUUCCAGUGGGAAUGAAUAAAUUGGAUUAAAAAAAACACGUUUACAUUGAAAUUAG